CACGUAGGGUGCGAGCGUUGUCCGGAAUUAUUGGGCGUAAAGAGCUCGUAGGCGGUUUGUCGCGUCUGCCGUGAAAGUCCGGGGCUCAACUCCGGAUCUGCGGUGGGUACGGGCAGACUAGAGUGAUGUAGGGGGAGACUGGAAUUCCUGGUGUAGCGGUGAAAUGCGCAGAUAUCAGGAGGAACACCGAUGGCGAAGGCAGGUCUCUGGGCAUUAACUGACGCUGAGGAGCGAAAGCAUGGGGGAGCGAACAGG
rnacentral:rRNA from 1 species